UGAUUUUGCCCGUUUAAACAUCAAAUAAAAUUUGAUUUUGUUCAUUGUGAAAUUGACAUUGAUUAAAUGAAGGUGGAGGAUGAAUUGUGAUAUUUGGGGAUGGGAUUGAAAUUUGAAGGUGGGAUGAUGAAGAAACUAUAUUGUUUGGGGUGGGGUGAUGAAGAAGAUUUGAGGUUGGGAUUGGAGUUUCGGGGUGGGGGUGAUGAAGAAGAUGAUGAUUUGGGGGUUGGGGUGAUGAAAAAGACGAUUGUUUGGGGGUAGGGAUGCUGGGGGUUGGGGGAGGAGUAUUUUAAUUUUUUUAAUUUUUUUUUGCAUUAAUUUUUAAUUUAAAUGAGCCAAUUUUUAUUUAAAUAAUUAUGUAUUUUCCACAUCAGGAGUAAAAAGUAUCAUUUUUUUAUAGUUAAGGUGUGUAAUAAGUCACUUAUAUAGUUUAGGUGUGAAUUCAACUUUUCGACUAUAGCUUGGGGUGAAAACGAUGCCUUUUCCCUUAAUGUUUUUAGCCGUUUACUUUUGUUAUUUAAUAGGCUGGAUGCGCCUAAAAUAAGUGUAACAUACGCACCUUAAAAUGGGGGUUGCGGGGAGGUAAUAAUAUCACUUUUAUAUAGUUAAGAUGUGUAAUAGGUCACUUAUAUAGUUUAGGUGUGGCUUCAACUUUUCUUGUAUAGUAUGGGGUGGAAAUGAUGUCUUUUCCCUUAUAUGAUAUUAUAGUAUCAAAUAAAAUCAUAACAAUCAACAAAUAUAAAUAUGUAUAUAUUAUUAGCAUAUAAAGCAUCAUAAACUCAAAGUUGAUUUUUCAUAUUAUUGUGAAUUGUUCUAUUAAGAUAACAAAGGAUGAAACUAGAAAAAUAAGGGGUCGUUUGGUUUGAAAAAUCUCGGGAUAAUUUUGAAAAUGGUUAUCCCGGGAUAAGUAAUUAUCCCGAGAUAAAAUUAAAGAACACAUUUUCCUUUGUUUGGUUGGAGGGAUUAAUCCAACCCGGAAUAACUUAUCCCAUCAUUUUCUCCUUAGUCCCAGGAUAACUUAUCCCAUAUACAUGGUGGGAUAAGUUAUCCCGGGAUAACUAUUUUCAAACCAAACGACACCUAAGAGAACAAGAGAAAAGGUUCAAGUGGUGUCAUGUAUUUUACACUUAAUGUGAAGAAAACUCUUUUCUUAUUUCUUAAAACUCCGUACCUGGUCAAAUGAAUUAUAUAAGGUACACUGCAAUGGAUUAUACAUUGUCAGGUACACUGCAAUGGAUUAUACAAGAAGAUUUACUCAAUGAGAAAUUCUCAAAGCAG
rnacentral:lncRNA from 1 species